AAGCUGCAAACGGGCGGAGAUAUCGUGCGAGUGGAGACUUCCACUGCGGAAGAGGCUUCUUGCUCUGGGGGAGCACCGCUGACGCCGGGGGAGGAACUACGGGAAGAGUGCGGCCGCGAGCAAGCUGGCGCACUGAUGGAGCAGGCCCUGAGAGAAAUUGCUAAGCUGACCUGGGGAACAUACUGGUUCGAGGACUGGGAAGAGCAAGAGCGACAGUUCAGAGAGACACAGGAAGAGAUUGAGAAGCUCUGCCUGACCUUUGGAAAGCUGAAGAAGGACAGAGAUAUCGUGCGAGUGGACACUUCCCCUGCGCAAGAGGCUUCUAGCUCUGGGGGAGCAGAGCUCCGUCUUUUCGACCUCCCAAUGCCUGCACAGGAGGAUAAAAAGAGGGGAGAGGAGGAGCAGGAUAGAGAAAAAGUAAAGGAAAGGGAGAUAGAAAGAGUAGAGAAGACAGCUGAGAAACAGAUUAAUGAAAUAAGGGCCAGGAUGGAGACAGUAGAGAAGAGUGCUGAGAAACAGAUUAGUGAAAUGGAGGCCAGGAUGGAGAGAGUGGAGAAGACGGCUGAGAAACAGAUUAAUGAAAUAAAGGCCAGGAUGGAGACAGUGGAGAAGAGCGCUGACAAACAGAUUAGUGAAAUGGAGGCCAGGAUGGAGAGAGUAGAGAAGAGUGCUGAGAAACAGAUUAGUGAAAUGGAGGCCAGGAUGGAGACAGUAGAGAAGAGCGCCGAGAAACAGAUUAAUGAAAUGAAGGCCAGGAUGGAGAGAGAAGAGAAGAGGGCUAAGAAAGAGAGUUAUGAAAUGAAAGCCAGGAUGGAGACAUUAGAGAAGAGCGCUGAGAAACAGAUUAAUGAAAUGGAGGCCAGGAUGGAGAGAGAAGAGAAGAGGGCUAAGAAAGAGAGUUAUGAAAUGAAAGCCAGGCUGGAGAUGGUAGAGCAGAGCGCUGAGAAACAGAUUAAUGAAAUGGAGGCCAGGAUGGAGACAUUAGAGAAGAGCGCUGAGAAACAGAUUAAUGAAAUGAAGGCCAGGAUGGAGAGAGUGGAGAAGAGCGUUGAGAAACAGAUGGAUGAAAUGAAGGCCAGGAUGGAGAGAGAAGAAAUGAAGAUGAAAGAACAGAUGGCUGAGAUGGAGAAUUCUGGAGCUAGUAUUCUAGAUAGUAUUCUGACACCGCGUGGUAUUUUGGUGGGCUCUACUGUGCUUGGUUGUAUUUUAGCUCUUGUGUUGUGCCUGGGCAAAAGCUAAAGCUCACUCGCAACAAUCUUUUCCAGCCCAAUCCCAGCAUAGAGUGCAAUAAUUAAAGGUUUUCCUUUAAUGUUCCAAUAUAGACUGUCCCAAAAAAGGAUAACAUAUUUUUAUUAUUAGUGUAGUUAGAAUUAAUUAGGCAGCAGAUGGGGUGUUGGGGGGUUUGGGUGGGGAUGGGGGUUUAGAGGGGCAGAGGCAGCAGAGUUUUAAAAGGGGUGGUUUUGACCGUGUGGAGUCG
rnacentral:lncRNA from 1 species